rfam:Myotis lucifugus cont2.8076, whole genome shotgun sequence.
GAGACACCCUUAUGGGGCAAGACUUGCAUCAGUGGGGCUUUGGUGCUCACUGAAUCUGCCCCCUGAGUGUGUCCCU